AGAAAUGGUAGAGUUCGCCGGAUAGGUUCUAUUUCUGGAGAGAGAGAGAGGUAGAUUUUUAUGUUUAUUAUUAAGUUAGUUUCAGCUUCUGAUAGCAGGUUAUUAAGAGUUUACUUGAGGAGAGGAUUACGGAAUUUUAGUCUAUAGUGGAGGAAGUCUUUGAGAUUUUUUUUUUGACGUAACAGAUGAUUAUUUGAGUAUACUUGUAAGGAUAAAGUUUAUAGUGAUAAGUUGUUUUAAGUCGUUGAGUUUAUCAGGGAUUUUUACGUGAGGAGAAUACGUUAUAAUUUAAAUGAUUAAUAGAGAUAAUGCAAGUGGUUUAAUUUAAUUGAAAUUAAUUUUAAGAUUGUAGGUUAAGAGAGUUAAAAUUUAAAAUAAAGUUUUUUUCGUAAAUAGGAAUUAUUUUCAAGAGAAGUUUGUUUUGUUUUCGUGCGCGUAGGAGACGAGACGUACGAAUUAAAUCAGUCGAGGGAAGGAUAAACGUUAGAAAGGAAUUAAAGAGAAAACGAGAGUUUAUGUAAAAGAGAGUUAUAGAAUUUAUAGUGAUGUUUUGUUUUAAUUAGAAAAAUGUUGAGAGUUGUUUCAGAACGACACGUCAGUGGACGUGGCAGAAUGAACACGUGACGGGGAGGUGCUGAGACCUAGCGGAGAACGGAGGAACCGCAAGCGAGGGUUGGCGCACCUGAUGGAAUUCGGUGACGUCACGAGCACGUACAGAGACGUGGACGGCCGUGACCUUGUUUUGAUCAGCUGUACGGUAACUUAGCGAUAAGAAAAUAGACUAUUGGUUAAAUAAAUUUAAAUUUAAGUGUGUUUUAGGAGAAGAGGAACUUUCAGUAUAUUCCUUAAGAUGAGCUGAGCAGCAGUCCAGUUUACAAGAUGACAAGAGUUCGAGAGACAAGAUACAAGAUCACUGAAACAAGAGCCAAGACUGAAGAUUCAAGAGAAGAGAAAGCUGGCAGCCAUGGACUUACAAGUGGAGAUUAAUAAGGUCAUGUAAAGUUUUAUUUUUUUUUAUGGAAGACAGUAACUGGAGUUUUUUUUUGUUAUAAACAUUAUUUACAGAACUUUUUAGGUUAUAGUAAGGUAAUGGAACUAGUGAGUUGUGGUAGCUGUCAAAAAGAACUAAUACCUUAAGUUUAAUUUUUAAAGUUAAUUUUCUUAAUUUACAGAGGGAUUAGUAGUUUUUUUUAAACCUUAUUUAGGUUGGAAUUUAAAUACAAUAGCUUAUUAUAAAUGUGUACGAACAGUUCAAGUUCACAGUACUGAUAGGUAGGUCAGAUGAUCUUAUUGAUUUUGAUGAUUUGUUGUUUUGAGUUGAUUUUUAAGUGUUGUGAAUUAGACAAUGAAAUAGUUCUGAAAACUUAAAUUAUUUCAAGCUAAGAAAUAGUAAAGUUAAUUGUAACUCAAAGGACACCAGAAUUUAAUUUUUUUUUAAUUAGUAAUGUUUGAAAAUUUUAUACUUUACAAGAAAGGUUAUAAACAAACAGAUCGGAUGGAACAAGGAUGCAGUAAAUCACAAUUUCAUUUAGAAUUAUUGAUUAGCUUUUGAGGUUAUGAAGUAAAAGUAAUUAUAGUUUAAAAGUUUGAAUAAAAAAAUGGUUUUUUUUUAAUUUGUUUGAAAUAGAAAGUUUAAAAGUUAAUUAGUCAUGAUCUAGGUGGGUGAUGGGGUGGGAAUUGGCCACUCUUUUUCCCUAUAACCUCCCUAACAUGGCCUUCUAUUACAUCUAACAGAAAAAAAAAAAAAGAAGAAAAAGAAGACUUAUUAUUAGUUAGAAUGUUUUUUUAUGAAGAUACCUGAUGAACUUUUUUUUAUUGUUGGGAAGAAUAGUAGCAAGAUUAAUCAGAUGUUUUACUCAGAA